ACUCCUACGGGAGGCAGCAGUGGGGAAUCUUGGACAAUGGGCGCAAGCCUGAUCCAGCCAUGCCGCGUGAGUGAUGAAGGCCUUAGGGUCGUAAAGCUCUUUCGCCAGGGAUGAUAAUGACAGUACCUGGUAAAGAAACCCCGGCUAACUCCGUGCCAGCAGCCGCGGUAAUACGGAGGGGUUAGCGUUGUUCGGAAUUACUGGGGCGUAAAGCGCGCGUAGGCGGAUCGGAAAGUUGGGGGUGAAAUCCCGGGGGCUCAACCCCGGAACUGCCUCCAAAACUAUCGGUCUAGAGUUCGAGAGAGGUGAGUGGAAUUCCGAGUGUAGAGGUGAAAUUCGUAGAUAUUCGGAGGAACACCAGUGGCGAAGGCGGCUCACUGGCUCGAUACUGACGCUGAGGUGCGAAAGUGUGGGGAGCAAACAGGAUUAGAUACCCUGGUAGGAUAGCG
rnacentral:rRNA from 1 species